ACUUCCUUUUUAGGCGUUUCAUUUAUUGAUAGGUCGUGGUAAUGUAUAUAGAGACUAUCUUAUAAUAUGGAAAAGUUUAUUCUUUUGUGUUUCAUGCAUUAGAUGACACAACAGAUACGAUGAAAUAAUAGGUCCUGGUAUAGUUUGAGUUUCCUAAUUAUUGUGACAAAGCUUGUUCUAGAUCUACGCGGAGAAGUUUUAUCCAGAUCUACUCGGAGGACUUUUAUGCAGAUCCAGAUUCACGACCACUCGGAUAAGUUUGAUCCAAAACCACUCGAAGAAGUUUAAUCCUGAAACAUUCGGAGAACAUUAAGAAUAAAUGGAGAAAGUGCCCAUUGGACAUGCACAGAUGAUGCCCCCGCUUGCAUAUAACGUUAUAAAGGGACACAACUAGAGAACUGUAAGAGUGACGCCACCCAAAAUCGAACUUGGUGUGUGUUAUGCGGUAAUAGGCAUUGUGUAUAAGUUUCAUAACAUUUGGUUGAUGCAAAAAGUUAGAGAACAGAAACGAAAAAAUCAGCAUUGUUUUCCGGCAUUUAUGAACGGGCGUAACUCCAGAACGGUAAAAGUGACGCCACCCAAAUUCGUUCUGAAUCUGAGUUUUGUGGUAAUAAGCAUUGUGUAUUAAUUUCAUAACAUUUGAUUGAGGCAAAGUAAAGUUAGAGAACUGAAAGGAAAAAUUCAGCAUUUCUUCCACUUUACGAAAGGCGUAACUCCAGAACGGUAAAAGUGACGCCACCCAAAUUCAAACUUGAACUGAGUUUUUUUGGUAAUAAGCAUUGUGUAUAAGUUUCAUAACAUGUAUUGAAAGUUUUAAAGAUAAUUGCACACAAAAAAAACCGGAAAAGAAUAGUUAACAAAUCCCCAUUUUAAGGCAGUAAUUUCUAUCAGAGGGCAUUCAACUUGAUAGGGUGGGGUAUUCAUUUCUGUGUUCUUUAAUCUUUAGGCCAUUCUUCUCUAUUCUUUAUUUUCAACCAUUAUUCUCUUUUCUUUCUAUUUUAGCGUCCCACUCUACUUUAUUCUUUUGAUCCAUUUUUUCUAUUCUUUGAACUUUUACAUUUUAUUCUAUAUCCCCCUCCCCCGAUUAUUCUAUACUGCCCCUCGAUCAUUCUAUAUUUUUCUUAUUAUUCUCUAUUCUGUAAACCUCAUCCAGACCAUUCGUCCUCGACAUGCAGAAAAUACUUGCCACUGGACGUUAAGCAAGCAUCAAUCAAUCAAUCAUCCAGACCCUCAUAUAUAUGUAUACAAGUGCCUAUAAAUAGCAACAGAUAACAUACAAAUCUAUUUGAGUGUGGAUUAAUCAGUACAAAGAUUAAUACAAUUUCACAAAUGAAAUUAUAAAUUGUCUAACAAUGUAAUUUUAACACACUAUUUAGUAUGUAAAUAUUAAAAUGUUAAAAAUA